rnacentral:tRNA from 1 species
GUUGUCGUGGCCGAGUGGUUAAGGCAAUGGACUACAAAUCUUUCGGGAUCUUCCCGCGCAGGUUCGAAUCCAGCCGACAUCG